GAUGAAGAACGUAGCGAAAUGCGAUACUUGGUGUGAAUUGCAGAAUCCCGUGAACCAUCGAGUCUUUGAACGCAAGUUGCGCCCGAGGCCUCCUGGUCGAGGGCACGUCUGCCUGGGUGUCACGCAUCGUCGCCCCCGCUCCCCUCGGCUCACGAGGGCGGGGGCGGAUACUGGUCUCCCGCGUGCUCCCGCCCGUGGUUGGCCUAAAAUCGAGUCCCUGGCGACAGUCGCCACGACAAGCGGUGGUUGAGAGACCCUCGGACUCGGUCGUGCGCGUGCUUGUCGCCCCCGGGACCUCCCGGACCCCCGAGCAUUGGCUUUCAGGGAUGCUCUCGUUGCGACCCCAGGUCAGGCGGGACUACCCGCUGAGUUUAAGCAUAUCAAUAAGCGGAGGA
rnacentral:misc_RNA from 1 species